rnacentral:rRNA from 1 species
UACGAAGGGGGCUAGCGUUGCUCGGAAUCACUGGGCGUAAAGGGUGCGUAGGCGGGUCUUUAAGUCAGGGGUGAAAUCCUGGAGCUCAACUCCAGAACUGCCUUCGAUACUGAAGAGCUUGAGUCCGGGAGAGGUGAGUGGAACUGCGAGUGUAGAGGUGAAAUUCGUAGAUAUUCGCAAGAACACCAGUGGCGAAGGCGGCUCACUGGCCCGGUACUGACGCUGAGGUGCGAAAGCGUGGGGAGCAAACAGG